rnacentral:tRNA from 2 species
ACUUUUUUAUUAUAAUAAAUUAUUUUUGAUUUCCAAUCAAAAGAACUUGUAACUAAACAAGAAAAAGUA